AAGUAAAACUAUUUCCACAUGUUUAUUCCCCCCUUACCACUGUUUCUCAAACCUUCUUGUCAACUGCUGCAAAUGGACCAUUUUGAUUACCACUGUAAAAAGUUCUCUCUCCUCUGCUGGUAAUGGCUCACCUUAACUGAUAACUCUCCUUAGAGUGUGUAUGGUAAUACCCAUUGUCUCAUGUUCUCUGUGUGUGGAUGUAUGUAUA